rnacentral:ncRNA from 3 species
UACGGAGGGUGCAAGCGUUGUCCGGAUUUAUUGGGUUUAAAGGGUGCGCAGGUGGUUUAUUAAGUCAGUGGUGAAAGACGGUCGCUCAACGAUUGCAGUGCCAUUGAAACUGGUAGACUUGAGUAAAGUAGAGGUGGGCGGAAUUGAUAGUGUAGCGGUGAAAUGCAUAGAUAUUAUCAAGAACUCCAAUUGCGUAGGCAGCUCACUUGGCUUUUACUGACACUCAUGCACGAAAGUGUGGGUAUCAAACAGG